rnacentral:ncRNA from 1 species
UGAUAAGCGAUGAUAGGAAUCAGUAGCAACUUAUCUCCCUGUAACAGAGAGCUGAUGUAUGGUGUGAAUUAGUACAAAGAUAAGUGCGAAUUACCUCCUUGAGCUUUCUUUGUGAAAUAGGUCAGUAGCAAAGAACGGGCAACCGUUAUGUGUAUGAGCGGAAGAAUUAAAUUCUUCAACAAGGGUGGUACCGCGUGCAGUUAACCACGUCCCUUUU